rnacentral:rRNA from 1 species
AUACGUAGGGGGCAAGCGUUAUCCGGAUUUACUGGGUGUAAAGGGAGCGUAGACGGCAAAGCAAGUCUGAAGUGAAAGCCCCGGGCUCAACCCGGGAAUUGCUUUGGAAACUGUUUAGCUAGAGUGCAGGAGAGGUAAGCGGAAUUCCUAGUGUAGCGGUGAAAUGCGUAGAUAUUAGGAGGAACACCGGCGGCGAAGGCGGCUUACUGGACUGUAACUGACGUUGAGGCUCGAAAGCGUGGGGAGCAAACAGGAUUAGAUACCCUGGUAGUCCACGCCGUAAACGAUGAUUACUAGGUGUUGGUUGUCAUAGACAAUCGGUGCCGCAGCAAACGCAAUAAGUAAUCCACCUGGGGAGUACGUUCGCAAGAAUGAAACUCAAAUGAAUUGACGGGG